CGUACGUUGAUUCAAGCGGCAAAGAAAACGUACAAUUUUGAAAUUGUGGCGACGCGGAAGAAAUAUAUAUGUGCUUGUCAAGAAUUGCAGGAACAGCGCCAUCGUCUGACGAUGUUGCGCAGGAGUAAAUGAAUGCGUUUCGAGCUUUGUUCUUCUUCGUUAAUCAAUUCGACUAUGCAAUUUUUCAACACAACGAUGAACGAUGGCCAACCGGUUUGAAGGUUAGAUAAAGAAGCUACAGCGGAAAUCAGCGUACAUUAACGAACACAGAGAACUACUGAUGGCGAAUGGCUGCAUUGGCGUAACCAGUCAAUGAUUGAUCGGCUGGAAAUCUCGGCAACGGUAUACCGACCAGAAUUAACCCUUGAGAUACACUUCGUAUGUCUCACGGGCCCUUCAGUCACUUGAAAUUAUCGGCGAGCACGAUUCCUUCGGACAAUCCUUGAAACUCCAAGACACUUCAGCGGCAGCCCGCCAGCGAGCAGCGGCAACCUGCGACUAUGCGGCAUCAGAGUGACGCGCGCCUGUGUGUGUGAGGUCCGCUGGAUGCUUUUUGGUCUCGACAAGCUGCGGCCCACGGACGAGCAUCCCUGCUGCUUCUUAACCUGCGCUGGAGACGAGCCUCGGUUGGGAAAAAUCCUGCCACAGCGGACGUAGUCGCCAGUCACGUUCAAGUUUGUUUGCAACGGAAUAAACAGCCGCUGAUUGGUCGAAGAAGCAACAGAGAGCCGGUCUGCACGCGAGAUGCUCCACCUUCCCCCUUUUUACCGUCGGCUCGUCAUUUUGCGGUUGCGAUGACGAGCUUCCCCCGUGUUCCUCUCGGAGGCUCGCGGAGUCCCACCCUUCGACAGGAGGAAAUCAAACGACGAUGCGAUGGAAUUUAUAUAUUCGUGGAUUUGCUGUAAUGCAGGGAUUGACAAGAGGAUCGUUUCGCUACGUGACAUGGAACUGUGCAAGAUAUCAUCGUGCUAACGUCGCGGCAGAAUAGCGUGAGGAUCGCGAGACAAAGAUGAGUAAAUCGUCAGAAGAAGCUGAAGGAAGAGUUGUGCAAUGAUGGGUCUGCAGGCCACGGCAGGAAAACGUAAACUGGAGGGAGGUGUGGGCUGCAUGGAGUUCGACAUGGAUAUGGGCGAGAGCCCAUCGAAGUUAGGCCGGGUGGAGGGUAGCUGGUGGGCGAUGGAGGAUAGUUACACGCCCCCGCUGAGUCAAACGCCGGCUUCUUAUUACGAUAUGGAAGUGAGUUCGCCCUGCCUGCAGACAAAUCCUUGUCAACCGACAUCGGCAAGUCAGCAGCAACAGCAACAACAUCAGGCGGCACAGCAACAGCAGCAGCAACAGCCGCAGUCGUCGACGCCAACGUCAGCGCCACCGCCGUCUACGGUGGCGCAUCUGCACCAUCAUCCGCAGCACUACUAUCAUCAUCAGCGCGGACCUAGCAGCCCGGUCGGUAACAACGGUUACAGCCAACUGUCGAGGCCUCAGCCGCAGUGGGGCGCACCUCAUCAUUACGAGCCGCCAACGAUACGGCGAGAAGAAAAUGGAAAGAGUUAUUUGGAGCUUGGUUCUAGUUAUCGAGCGAACGAGAGGUGCUGCGAAGGUUCGAGGUCAAGCUGGUGUCGACGAGGUAGAGCGUGUUACAGACAAAGGCGACUAGCCGUUUUAAAUAUUUCGAUGUGCAAGCUGGCGAGGUAUCGCCAAUUUCCGGAUCCGAGCCUUCAUCGAUCGGUUCUCAUCUGCAAUACACUGAGGCAUCUAGAACGCGAGAUGGAGAGGGACAGAAGUCCGCCGCCCAUGGAGCCGGUUAUACCGGCACCGAUUGCUCAACUUCAACCUCCUGAGCAGGGCAGGUUAACACCGUUCCCGAUGCCACCAACGUCUUCGAACGAGACAGACGUCGAUUCCGGCAUCGGCGAUAGCGACGACAGCCGUUCCAUCAAUUGGGGCAGCGUGCUGUCUCUCUCGAGUCAAUCGCCGCUGGAUCCAUUGAACAACAACGAGUUACUGGAUGUCGAUAUCGGCCCAGACCUAGAUUUAGACUUCAUGCCUGGAUGGAAGCUGACGCCCCUGUCCGCGGACGAUAUCCUUAGAAGUACGACGGCGCAGGAACAGCAGCAUCAUCAGCAUCAACAACAUCAUCAUCAUCAACAGCAGCAGCAGCAGCAGCAGCAGCAGCAACAUCUGGCUCCAGCUAGCGGCAGCUGCGCUAGUAGCAAUGUCGGAAACGCCUGCGUCAGCACUGGCAGUAGCAGUAGUACGCACGAAUCGUUAAUGUGCGUUGGAUCAUAGCCCCCGAUUUUGACGUCGAUGAGUCAUCUCAUCGAUUUUUACCCGCUGAUGCCGCAGAGUAAAUAAAAACAAAAAGUGACAAAAAAAAAAAAAAAAAGAAACAAACGCGGCAACAAACUCGCAAAGAACCACAAAUCGCAGAAACGAGGUAACUCGCCCGCCUCUCCGAUAUGUGCGACGCCUGGUCGGCGAUUCUCCAGGAGGUCUUCUUUUUCUUAUUUAUUACCGUUCGUGUCAAUUACGCACCGAUCGAUUAUCUCGGUUACAUUCUACUUGUAGCAUACCGAUAACCAGCAUGGGUGGUCUACCGAUUGUAGGGAAGAGAGAAAGAGAGAGAGAGAGAGAGAGAGAGAGAAAGAGAGAUAGAGAUAAAGAUAAAUAAAGAGAGAAAGGGUACGCGUCGCGUUACCCUGUGUUCGCAGGUGCAGCCGCCACGGAAUUCAUGGCCCAUCGGCAGUGCUUCAAAUGCGAAGCAACCAGAGGUGAUUACAAUUUAUAAACCGACGAGUAAACUCGAUCUCGCCUUGUUCCAAUUAUCCGCUACGAUUCGACCUUUUAUACUUUAUCAGGUUUUCAUUUCGAAUCGUUCGAAUUAAUCGAGACCGUUUUAUGAAACUGUUUACUUCGAAAGUUUUCUACUUUAUAUACAUGUACGCGUUUGAACGUACGAAUUACAUUGGAAAAAUUCGAGUUUUCACGCGAUGGAACAACGCGAGGUCGGGUCCUCUCAUUCGGUCAUCAACAACCACCUCGAAACGAGCAUGGCUAUACUAUAUCGAAACGAUGUGUUUUUGCAGCUGCACCUGCGAAUUCAGCGGCGCAUAUCAGUUCCCGAGUCGCUCGAAAUGUCGUCACCGGCGGCACGUCAGACACGAAAGAGCGAGAAUAGCGUGAUAGAGUAAAACAGAAAAAAAAAGAAAGAAAGAGAAUAGUGAGAGAGCGAAAGAAAGCGAGUGAGAGAGCGACAGGGAAAAGAGAUGUAGAGAGAAAGAGUUGGAAAAGUCUCAGAGCUUUCAAUGUUCACGCCCCCGGGCCGGCGAUAGGACAAGUACAGAGGAUCGGUGGUAACCUUCUCUUCGGCUCCUUAAAACAACGACGAUAAAGCGGCACGAAACCCCGACAGAGACCUACGUAUGCACACAGAAUAUAAUCUAAUUGUUACAUUCGAUAGAAAAGUGUCCUUCUCUUCUUUCUACCGUAUUAACUCUCGCUAUUUUUGUUUCUCUUGUUUUUGGUAACAUCGGCACAGCGUGAUACGCGUAUAUCGCUCGCCUAGCCGGCUGACGUUGAGAACUCUUCGGCGACGUCCGGCGUCGUUCGCGACAGCCAAUCGAAAUGGGGAGUGUCCAUCAUCAUCGAUCGAUGUUUUCUCUUUGGAUUAGAAAGACUAUCCAGCCGACGAUUAAAUUAAUGUCAUACACUCUGACACACUAACGAUACACUUACACGCGUAAGACAUAACCGCCGUGGCCUAUAUCGUACACUGAUACACGUACACGCACCACAUGUACACGCCGUAUACGCUCAUAUACACGUACAUAGAUACUAUACUAUAUGUACAUCAGGAGAGAGAGAGAGAGAGAGAGAGAGUGCGCGCGAGAGAGAGAGAGAGAGAGAGAGAAAGAGAUAUACAGGUUCGUACACGGAAAAGUCGAUAUGGUGCUAGGACGAUCACACCCUGGUGCUUAAUUCUGUACACACAGAGACACAUGUGCGUAAGUUCGCACGGAUCGCCUGCAGUCUUCGUUAAGAAGUCUAGAUACGUCCUGACGUCGUGAACAGGACACACCGUGAUCCAACGUAUUUUCAUCAGGAUUCUUCGUACGAGUUAUACGAAACUGUUUGGCUUGGGCACCUUGAAGGACGUACGAACACUGGAUGAAAAUACGUUGGAUGGAGAGACGCGUAACUGUGUUCUGGCGCACGAUGCUAACAAAUGUACCUGCAUUUUAGAGAUCGGGAUAAAUGUUGGGUCGCUUCGUGUCGUCGCGCGGAGGCCACUGCGCGCCACUGAUCUCUCGUUAAUAAUUAUGUACUAUAAUACUAUUGUAAAAUAGAGAGUGGCCGACGAGCAGUGAACGAACGCGACCAAUGAUUCAUUUGGAACGGUGUGAAACGGUGGGGUUAUUAAGCGAGGAGAUGAAAAAGGUAGAAAGAAAACGAAAGAAAAGAGUAAAAUAAAGUAAAAUAAAACUCGACGAUAUGUACUUCGCGAAGAGGAACGGCGAUCCGCGCGCGAUCUCGUCCUCAACGUCCACUAACUGAAACCCAGCAGAGCAGCUAUACUUAAAUCGAAGAUAAGCAAAUGUGUAAAGCAAAUCUAUGAAGAAGCGACAAAGCGAAUAUAAGAAAAAGUAAUUUAUAAAUCGACUGAUUUACCUUGCGAGAUAGCGGACAAAGAAAGAAAGAAGACGGAAGAAGAUUCAAGUAACGAAGAAAAGGAAGCUCUAGCCGGCAACGUUUCGUCACACGAAUUCAUUUAUACUGUAAUUAAUUGAGUGUUAAGCCGACGAUGAUGUAUACACUUACACGCGACACGUACCGUUACAGCAAACUCAUACGUACACGCGCCACACUUCUGUACGACACAAAUGGACACGUCUAUACACGAGAUACGCUAGAUACUUGGAUGUAUAUAGAGGUACAACACUACGUGCUAAGCGUAAUAAUGAUUAAUACGAACCGUUUUCAGUUUUUCGUUCCUCUUCCGAUAAUCGUUUCUUUCUUUCGUUUUCCAUCAUUCUCCAUCAUCGUAUUACCAAUUUCGAAUCUUUUUCUGGCUCUCGCGCGUUUCAUCGACGCCUUUCUCCACUCGAUUCGACGCCGUUAUCCCGCGUUGCUUUCCGCUACGCUAAUCGCCUCGCCUCUAUCCGUUUCGUUCAUUCGUUCCUCGCUUAUUUCCUACGAAGAAAACAACGAGUAAUAUUACUUGAACGGCGCGCAGAAUCUAGGAGAAGAACGCGUACGCGUGCAUCGAUCUCGAGCGGUUCGCCAACUUUCCUCGAAACGGCCAAUGAGAACAUCGUUCUUCCUGGUCGUCGUACACGGCGAUGUUUGAUCGAACGUUUUGUACAUUCACAACUGUUUAUACUGUGAUCGCAUUGUAAAUAUCAUCGGAAAAACGAAUAUCGUUCGUAAUAGAAAAAAAAAAAAAAAAGAAAAAUUGUGCACGAAUGAAAGGAGUCGUUGGAACCAAAAAGUUGAAUAAAGACUGCGACGUUUAGUUUACGACGAAGAGCGAUAGAAAGUAACAUUUUGCGAUCAAACGUCGGUCAGUAGAUGUAAAGGUGGAAGAAGAGACGUGUUCUCGUGGCUUGUCGCGUCUCUUAGGAUUCCGAAUCGCUCGAGUUCUACCAUCCUAUCUACGACCGCGCGUAAGGUGUUAAAACGCGAGAAACGCAUAUGUACAUGACACACAGACACACAGGCAUACAGAAACAGAUGCACACAGGGAUGAAGCGCGCGUUGCGCGAGAUUACGCUCGGUGCGUAUGUGCGGCGGAGCGUUUUCAGGGAGACGAUCGGUGUCGUUUUCUUGCAUGGUGUACCAAUCGGAACUGGCGUGAACGCACGUGUGACGUACGUACGCGAGAUACAUCAACGUGUGCUACAUCGUUGAAAAAUUCGUCCAUCGCGUUGAUGCAUCUUUCCAAAUACGUAACAUGCCUUUCCGUGUUUUGCGAUCGCAAGCGCUACCUCAUCGGCUUGGUGUUCCGUGACGAGCAGGACGCCUUACAAUUUCACUUUCGAUACACGCUGUACUCGCCGAUAAAACAAAAUUCCAGCCAAUCUACCGGAUAGAUGCGAGAAACGGGCGUUGACUGACGUAUCGAAUUUCGUUAAUACGAAGAAGAGAACCGCGCACUGGUUACGCGUACGCGAACAAAAUACUCAUGCCUCUCGAUCGCAACAUUUUGUAUCCCGUUCGGUCGAGUCGAUCGUUCAACGGAAUGCCAAGCACCGCGUUACGCGACACUAGACUCGCUUCUCGAGAGUGAAAGAAGCGAAAAAGGAAAAAAGAGAAGAAAAAAAGGAACUCGGGAGGCGACAAAAUAAUUUCGUAUUUUUUACACGGAGCAUCGCUGCGCUCGAACGCGACAUUAAGUUACACGCGAUUACACACACACAGUACAUGUACACGUAACGAAGACUCGGUACCGAUGGAGCGACUGCGAGUUCGGCGUUUGAGAAUGGCGAGCGUGUCGAAGAGCGAAAGAGGACGCGAGUUUUUCUUUUCCUUUCCGUUUCUCUUCUCUCUCCUUUUUUUCUUUCUUUUUCUUUUUUUCAAGUCGUGGAUCACGUGACGCAGCUUAGAGAAAAGGAAAAAGCGUGACCGUGCGAGAGAACGACGAUACGAGUUCUAAACGCACGUAUGUUUCGACGAGUGCGUGUUAAUGUUAGAACGUGUUAAAAAGAAAACGAUAAAAAAAGAUGAAUGAUAUAAAAUGGGUGCGCGAGGAACACCUUCUUCCGAUGGCAGGUGCAAGUAAAAAGAAACGAGCAACCGAGAAGGAGAAGACGUGGAGGAAAGGGAGGAUGAAAGGUGAAAAGUUGUAAAUAGUAUAAAUAGUACACGCGCAGAAGUACGUUUAAGCGAAAAUAAAAGAUGAUAUAAUAGGUAUAAUGUGAAGAAAAAUAUACACAUAUAAGAUAUUAUUAUAUAUUAUAUAUAAAUAAGAAGUAUAUAUAUAAGAUUAUUAUGUAUAUUUACCGUGGUAAAUGAUAUACAAAAGCGGUGACGGGGACUCGCGCAAUCUCGUUGUCGUGUUCGGAUGAUGUUGCUGUGAUUCGCGGCUGGCCCACGCAACGAUUUCCUGUUCAAAUUCAUUUCUGCUCGUAACACGCAUAUCCCGCCAGACAUCUCGUUCUCUUUUUCUAACCGCACACACGAAAAAACACCACCACUCCGUUCUUGUCAUCCGUAUUCUACCAUACGAUACAUGCUCUUCCAGAUUGUUUUCACGUGUGUACGCAUCCAAUGUGGAUGAUCGCGUUCGAUCGUCGUACGCAUGUCGCCGCGAAUUCUUUCUUCUCUCAUCGUCCGUCGAUCUUUCCCCUUUCCGUUUCUCGUCACUCGUCGCGUUUAACAAUGAUCAGUCGCGCGUAACGUAUAUAACAACAGCUAGGUACGGACAAGAAUGCAGAGCCGAUAGUCCCGGCAAUGUUGCGUUUCUUCGCUCCUUACGAGACACAGAAGUUGCAUCGUUCUCUGCUUCUUCGAAUUUAUUUAUGUAUACACGGUGGGCUGGUUGUAGAGCGUUUAGUAUCGGGCUUUCUGUGCGCCUGUUCGUUGUUAGCAUGAAAGGGAAAAGAAAAAAGAAAGAGAAAUACAUACGUUUUUGUUAUAUCGUCAUUAUUAUUAUUAUUAUUAUUAUUAUUAUUAUUAUUAUUAUUAUUAUUAUUAUUAUUAUUAUUAUUAUUAUUAUUUUAAAUAUUAAUAAAUGUAAAUUUUAUAUUGUCCUACGAAGAGUUAAUGGAAUUGGGCUGUCGCGAAGACGUACGAUUUAAGUUCCUAUUACCACGAUAUCUAACGAAGAAUUAAUUAAAAGAGCAAUCUACACGAUUAGAACGAACGAGUAAAACGCAGUGGAGCGACAGCAGCGUUCUCGUGUGGGCCACCUUGCGAACGCAACGUCCUCGAAUCCUCCUAUUUCUUUUCUUGUUUUUUCUUUUUUGUGCGAUCACUAUUAUUAUUAUUCUUAUUCUUAUUCUUAUUCUUAUUAUUUUUAUUAUCAUUACUAUUACUAUUACUAUUACUAUUAUUAUUAUUAUUAUUAUUAUUAUUAUUAUUAUCAUUAGCGUUAAUACCAUUAAUAUUAUUGAUACUAUCAACGAUCGAUCGUUUCUAUCGAACGCCUUAACCGAACGCGAAAAGAGAACGGUCAUUUCCUUUCAUUCGGACGAAACGCGAACGAACGAGGCUGUAGGACGCCGCGGCCAGCGUGUGAAAAGCAAAAUGAUAGUCGACGAAAAAAUGAGAAAAAAAAUGAAAAAAGAGGGCGACAGAGGGGAAAGAAGCAGAAACGAGGACGGGUGACGGCAAGCCAGAGAGCCUAGAUCUCUAACGGAUCUCCGAGACUUUACGAGAGUCCCGCCGUGACCGCAAACCUAGGACACGAGGAAAGAACACACAACACUGUACAUUGUAAAUAGUAGCGCGGAGAAGACGGUUACAGAGAAAGACAGAGUUAAUUAAUUAAAAGAUAAAUGAAGGAUAAGAUGAGAUGAGAGAACGAGCGAGCGAACGAGAGAGAGAGAGAGAGAGAGAGAGAGGAAAAAAUGAAGAAAAAGAUGAAUUGGCGCCGGGCGCGUGAAGCGAAUGCACGUUCCCGAGGGAUGUUCGAUUCUAAGGCGAAUACAGUAUGUAGGAAAUUUUAAAAAGAGAGGAAACGAUGGAAAUGCGGUGAAACCGUUUUCCGGUAUCGGAUGAGAUUUUCCAUGGCGAAAAUGCUCUUUCGUCGAUUGCUCGAAAUUAACUAGCGCCGUUAAUCGCCUGAAAUCGAUGCAUCCCGAUGGGAGUACGUUCGCCAUACGAGCCGCGUGUGCGGCCACUUUAAUAGAGCUAGGACAAAUUUUAAGAUGCACGGUCGUGUAUCUGCGAGACGUGCGCCGAUCACUCGAACUGUCUUUCGUAUCGUGUCGCAAGACUGCGUCUAAAAUUAAAAAAAAAGAAAAAGCAAGUGGGGAAAAAGAGGGAGUGAGAGAGAAAAGAAAAAGGGAAAGUCGAGCUAACGUCAAACAAACGGAAACACCAGAAGAAAACAUACACGCUUUAGGGAAAAUAAAAACAAAGUAGAAAAGAGAGAAAGCGAGGCAAUAGUUGCGCGUUUCACGCGGUUAGUGGGAAACGGAGCGCGAGGACGAAGGACAACAGGAUCCUUGAUACAAGCCGCGUCCGCGAUUCGUUACUUUGCACGCGUGCUUUCCAAUUAGCAUGAGAACAAAGGAAAAUGAAAGGAAAAAUGUCAUGGAAAGCACGAAUCGCAAUUACUCUAGUCCUAAGUGGUCGGCGCGUGCACGAUGCGAAGAAUUGCACGGUUCUCGAGUGGUUGGACACGUUGUGUAUCUUUUCUUUUUUCUUCGUUCGUUUCUCGUAUUUUGUUUUAAAAAGUUGUGUCGUUGUAUCGCGUACCGUUUUACCAAAAUAUCGAGCAGCAAUGAAUCAGCAGCAACAGAAUAAGAAUGCAAACAACAAAUUGCGGCGCAAAAAACGAUUAACCUGAAGAGAAGUAAGAGGAUAACGCACGAUAUGGACAACAACAACAAAAACUAUCAAAAACAAUAAAGAGUAUUAUUCUAUAUAUAA